CUCUUAUUCAGAGUGAUGGAGAGGUAAGGCUCGAUGAAGUCACGGCAACCCCUGUAAUCGGAAGGUGCCAACCUGAGCGAGUAAUCGAACAAUAAGAG
rnacentral:ncRNA from 2 species